UUAAAUUGAAGAGUUUGAUCAUGGCUCAGAUUGAACGCUGGCGGCAGGCCUAACACAUGCAAGUCGAACGGUAACAGGAAGCAGCUUGCUGCUUUGCUGACGAGUGGCGGACGGGUGAGUAAUGUCUGGGAAACUGCCUGAUGGAGGGGGAUAACUACUGGAAACGGUGGCUAAUACCGCAUAACGUCGCAAGACCAAAGAGGGGGACCUUCGGGCCUCUUGCCAUCAGAUGUGCCCAGAUGGGAUUAGCUUGUUGGUGAGGUAACGGCUCACCAAGGCGACGAUCCCUAGCUGGUCUGAGAGGAUGACCAGCCACACUGGAACUGAGACACGGUCCAGACUCCUACGGGAGGCAGCAGUGGGGAAUAUUGCACAAUGGGCGCAAGCCUGAUGCAGCCAUGCCGCGUGUAUGAAGAAGGCCUUCGGGUUGUAAAGUACUUUCAGCGGGGAGGAAGGUGUUGUGGUUAAUAACCACAGCAAUUGACGUUACCCGCAGAAGAAGCACCGGCUAACUCCGUGCCAGCAGCCGCGGUAAUACGGAGGGUGCAAGCGUUAAUCGGAAUUACUGGGCGUAAAGCGCACGCAGGCGGUCUGUCAAGUCGGAUGUGAAAUCCCCGGGCUCAACCUGGGAACUGCAUUCGAAACUGGCAGGCUUGAGUCUUGUAGAGGGGGGUAGAAUUCCAGGUGUAGCGGUGAAAUGCGUAGAGAUCUGGAGGAAUACCGGUGGCGAAGGCGGCCCCCUGGACAAAGACUGACGCUCAGGUGCGAAAGCGUGGGGAGCAAACAGGAUUAGAUACCCUGGUAGUCCACGCCGUAAACGAUGUCUACUUGGAGGUUGUGCCCUUGAGGCGUGGCUUCCGGAGCUAACGCGUUAAGUAGACCGCCUGGGGAGUACGGCCGCAAGGUUAAAACUCAAAUGAAUUGACGGGGGCCCGCACAAGCGGUGGAGCAUGUGGUUUAAUUCGAUGCAACGCGAAGAACCUUACCUGGUCUUGACAUCCACAGAACUUUCCAGAGAUGGAUUGGUGCCUUCGGGAACUGUGAGACAGGUGCUGCAUGGCUGUCGUCAGCUCGUGUUGUGAAAUGUUGGGUUAAGUCCCGCAACGAGCGCAACCCUUAUCCUUUGUUGCCAGCGGUUAGGCCGGGAACUCAAAGGAGACUGCCAGUGAUAAACUGGAGGAAGGUGGGGAUGACGUCAAGUCAUCAUGGCCCUUACGACCAGGGCUACACACGUGCUACAAUGGCGCAUACAAAGAGAAGCGACCUCGCGAGAGCAAGCGGACCUCAUAAAGUGCGUCGUAGUCCGGAUUGGAGUCUGCAACUCGACUCCAUGAAGUCGGAAUCGCUAGUAAUCGUGGAUCAGAAUGCCACGGUGAAUACGUUCCCGGGCCUUGUACACACCGCCCGUCACACCAUGGGAGUGGGUUGCAAAAGAAGUAGGUAGCUUAACCUUCGGGAGGGCGCUUACCACUUUGUGAUUCAUGACUGGGGUGAAGUCGUAACAAGGUAACCGUAGGGGAACCUGCGGUUGGAUCACCUCCUUACCUUAAAGAA
rnacentral:rRNA from 1 species